rnacentral:rRNA from 1 species
AGAGUUUGAUCCUGGCUCAGGACGAACGCUGGCGGCGUGCCUAAUACAUGCAAGUCGAACGCACUCUCGUUAGAUUGAAGAAGCUUGCUUCUGAUUGAUAACAUUUGAGUGAGUGGCGGACGGGUGAGUAACACGUGGGUAACCUGCCCUAAAGUGGGGGAUAACAUUUGGAAACAGAUGCUAAUACCGCAUAAAACCUAGCACCGCAUGGUGCAAGGUUGAAAGAUGGUUUCGGCUAUCACUUUAGGAUGGACCCGCGGUGCAUUAGUUAGUUGGUGAGGUAAAGGCUCACCAAGACCGUGAUGCAUAGCCGACCUGAGAGGGUAAUCGGCCACACUGGGACUGAGACACGGCCCAGACUCCUACGGGAGGCAGCAGUAGGGAAUCUUCCACAAUGGACGAAAGUCUGAUGGAGCAACGCCGCGUGAGUGAAGAAGGUUUUCGGAUCGUAAAACUCUGUUGUUGGAGAAGAACGUAUUUGAUAGUAACUGAUCAGGUAGUGACGGUAUCCAACCAGAAAGCCACGGCUAACUACGUGCCAGCAGCCGCGGUAAUACGUAGGUGGCAAGCGUUGUCCGGAUUUAUUGGGCGUAAAGCGAGCGCAGGCGGUUUCUUAAGUCUGAUGUGAAAGCCUUCGGCUCAACCGAAGAAGUGCAUCGGAAACUGGGAAACUUGAGUGCAGAAGAGGACAGUGGAACUCCAUGUGUAGCGGUGAAAUGCGUAGAUAUAUGGAAGAACACCAGUGGCGAAGGCGGCUGUCUGGUCUGUAACUGACGCUGAGGCUCGAAAGCAUGGGUAGCAAACAGGAUUAGAUACCCUGGUAGUCCAUGCCGUAAACGAUGAGUGCUAGGUGUUGGAGGGUUUCCGCCCUUCAGUGCCGCAGCUAACGCAUUAAGCACUCCGCCUGGGGAGUACGACCGCAAGGUUGAAACUCAAAGGAAUUGACG